rnacentral:rRNA from 1 species
GACGAACGCUGGCGGCGUGCUUAACACAUGCAAGUCGAACGGAAAGGCCCUGCUUUUGUGGGUUGCUCGAGUGGCGAACGGGUGAGUAACACGUGAGUAACCUGCCCUUGACUUUGGGAUAACUUCAGGAAACUGGGGCUAAUACCGGAUAGGAGCUCCUGCUGCAUGGUGGGGGUUGGAAAGUUUCGGCGGUUGGGGAUGGACUCGCGGCUUAUCAGCUUGUUGGUGGGGUAGUGGCUUACCAAGGCUUUGACGGGUAGCCGGCCUGAGAGGGUGACCGGCCACAAUGGGACUGAGAUACGGCCCAGACGCCUACGGGAGGCAGCAGUGGGGAAUAUUGCACAAUGGGCGGAAGCCUGAUGCAGCAACGCCGCGUGCGGGAUGACGGCCUUCGGGGUGUAAACCGCUUUCGACUGUGACGAAGAGUGAGUGACGGUAAUGGGUAAAGAAGCACCGGCUAACUACGUG